UGUAAUUGUGAUGAGGCUGCGUGAACUGAACUUUUAUCUUGCUGCCAUCCCCAAGGCACCAGACCUGUGGUCGAGGGAGAAACUUCCUGGCGAUUUGGGCCUGCCAGCAAUCAUUGUGAGCCGAGACACAUCACAUCGGUGGUGGGAGAGGCCAUCCUCGCCUCCAAGAGAAGAGCAAUAGCAGCUAUGAGACACACACAGUCAGGUUCCAUACAGAGUCUCCAGCUGGCCUUCGUGGAGCAAGGGACUGGGCAAGCCUGCCCGGUUGUACGGUCACCCUUUGGAGGGUACUCUUUGCUGCUAAUGAUCCAUGAAGAGGGGGUUGCUGAUGCCUGAAGGGGAUCUUGGACAAAGGAGCUACACUCUGCUCUGGAUAACUCUUUGCUGGCCUUUCCCUAAACUAAAUAAACAUUGAAUACUAA